rnacentral:rRNA from 1 species
CCUACGGGUGGCUGCAGUGGGGAAUAUUGGACAAUGGGGGAAACCCUGAUCCAGCAAUGCCGCGUGUGUGAAGAAGGCCUGCGGGUUGUAAAGCACUUUCGGUUGGGAAGAAAAGUUUGGCGCCAAUACCGCCGAACCUUGACGUUACUGACAGAAGAAGCACCGGCUAACUCUGUGCCAGCAGCCGCGGUAAUACAGAGGGUACAACCGUUCGUCGGACUCACUGGGCGUAUCAUGCGCGUAGGUGGUCAACUCCCCGGGCUUAACCUGGGAACUGCAUUCGAUACUACAUGGCUAGAGUAUGGUAGAGGGAAGUGGAAUUUCCGGUGUAGCGGUGAAAUGCGUAGAUAUCGGAAGGAACACCAAUGGCGAAGGCAGCUUCCUGGACUAAUACUGACACUGAGGCACGAAAGCGUGGGUAGCAAACAGGAUUAGAUACCCCUGUAGUC